rnacentral:lncRNA from 1 species
GUGGCGGCGAGCGUCACUGAACAGUCUCUGGAUCUCAAAACAAUUAAAAGCGGGAUAUGAAUAUGAAUGAACCGUGAUAUCGUGGGUCAAAGUAACAGUUCCAUUCUGCCCUUCAGGAGCGAGGCACCUGCGUCGAAUCCACUAAAAUGAACUUCUUGAGCGUUAGCGCUCCUCCAGAAAAUAUAAUAAUAUAAAUAAUAGCAAUGCCAGUCAAAUAAAAAGAAUGAUAAAUAAAAGAAACCGGAGAAAUCCACACUAUAUAUUGGUCCUCCUUUUUCGCCACAGUAUAACGGAAAGUCGACGUUUAAUAAAUCUAAUUCCAAAACGUCACAGGCAAAACAAAACAAAACAAACAAACAAAAAAAAGUUUCGUUCACUUCCAAGCGCAACCUCCACUCUGCACGCGCGACUGUCGGCCCAGAGAACGGCUUCUGCGCAUAUGAUUAUCCUCAAGAGCAUGUGCCGCGCUUCUUGCCAGAGCUGCGAUCUUGAGAGAAUCGGCACACAGCGCUGAUUGGCCAGACGGAGUCGACGUAGAUUAUGAUGCUUCAAUGCGAAGGGCUUGACUCACUUCAGCAGGACUUCAGAAGGUGGGAAAUUAGGCAUAAUUCCCAUUGCGUGUGGAUUAUUCAGCUUCACAGAUAGUCCAAAAAUGGCUAUAGGUCUAUAAAAGCAUUUCCUUAUUUCCUCACACAUCUUCCAGUUCGUUUUGUACAGCUUUGACAAGUCUGUGGGCCUCCUGAAAGGAAGGAUGUGACUCUUAAUGAGAGUUGAUAUAUGCUAAUUAACCAUCAGUUCUUCUUUAGAUGUUAUGGAAAUAAAGGUAACACUUUACAAUCAGGUCUCAUUUGUUUACAUUAGUUAAUGCAUCAACUAACAUUAACUACAAUACAUUUAUUAAUCUUUGUUAAUGUUAGUUCAUGUUAGCUCAGGUCCAUUAAAUAAUAUUUAAAAAAGACACACUUUUUUAUUUCAUUAAUGUAUUGUACAUGUUGAAAUUAAAAUGAAAUAAGAUUUAAACAUGAUUUAAAUUGUAUGUGGGCAACUGCAAGCUCUUUUAGGUUUUAAAUGAGGCGUCAAUGAAAGGUGCUGCAGGCAUAAAGGAUUUUCUUUAAAAAUACAUAAAUCUUCCUUAUGUUUCUAUUAUUGAGAAAAUCUAGCAUUUUGCGAUAUAUUGAGGGGUCUUGGUGGGGGGAAUCCUGUGAAGGUUUAUUGUGUUGAAUUAUGCCAAAACAAACUUCUUUGGUGCUUUUCAAGUGUUCAAAUAAUCUGACAACAUACUUUUCUACUAAAGCAAAAGUGUCUUGGGAAGAGUACAGAGCAAAGCAAGACCUAUACUUGUUUCACCAAAGAAAAAAAAAUCUUUGCAUUUCAUUUAUGUAACAGAAUAAGUGUAAAAUAGGUGUAUAAUGUUAGAGUUGGCUUUAAUAAACAUAAAAGGAACAUUAGUUUGAAAAUCAAACCAGUUUCUCAAAUGCUGACUGAGUUUUAAAGGUAAUAAUUUAACUUUAUAUAAUGUUGAAGUCUGUCACACAGAGGUUACACAAACCGUUAGUUAACUGUAAAGGCAUUACACUGGAAUCCCUGUGAUAAACAUUUAAACUACCACAAUAAUAUUUACAGACUUCUAAUAUUACAGGUUCACAUGCUUUAUGAAUGAUGCACAGUUCUUCUAAAUAUGUAUGUAAACAUUAAAAUGUUUUUCAUUUUCAUAAAUGUGCUCGUCACUCAUGUCCUCGUCGGCCACAGCUACCUGUGCUCAGCAGUCCUGUCAUAUUUUGAAACCUGCAGAAAGGCAAAAAAAGAAAAAAAAAGUGGAUAAAUGAAAAUAUGAGCUGAUGUUUACUCCCUUGUGGGCCGUAGGAAGUGGCAGGAGGUAAUACUGGGGCUUCCAAGUUCCCAUGAGUACAACUGCUGAGAAAAAUCUAAUUCAAUCUGCAGCUACGUGAAGACUCAAGGAUGGCGUCCCCAGUAGAAAGAUGGGAGAUUUAGACGUAGCUUCAUUUCCCUUCGAAAUCACCAUGACCUCUUUCUCACUCACACACACACACACACACACACACACAAAAUACUCAUUCCCCAUGUCCCCCUGCCACAGAUGGGUCACGGCCUUCUCUCCCACGGCGCUCAGAGUCAGGCACUUUACUCUGUUACUAUGGUUGCCAACCACUUAAAGUCUCCUUCUCUUUAUGCUCUGUCCUUACCCUCACUAACUUGAUCCUCGAGUGAUGAGAGUAAUAGGGUGGGUGAACCACUGCUGUUUCUCACUGUGGAACUAUUUGGCCUGAUAAACUUAUAACCAUGCACUCAUGCUUUGGCACAAUAACAGUACUAGUAUUCAGUGAUACUACUUCCUUCCGUAAACUACACCACUGACCUCUUCUCACUCACACACACACACACACACACACACACAAAUACUCAUUCCCCAUGUCCCCUGCCACAGAUGGGUCACGGCCUUCUCUCCCACGGCGCUCAGAGUCAGGCACUUUACUCUGUUACUAUGGUUGCCAACCACUUAAAGUCUCCUUCUCUUUAUGCUCUGUCCUUACCCUCACUAACUUGAUCCUCGAGUGAUGAGAGUAAUAGGGUGGGUGAACCACUGCUGUUUCUCACUGUGGAACUAUUUGGCCUGAUAAACUUAUAACCAUGCACUCAUGCUUUGGCACAAUAACAGUACUAGUAUUCAGUGAUAAAUGUCAUCCUGGAGAAAAACAGAUUUCAUAUAAUGAAUUAGCUUUUAGUAAAACUUUAAUAAGCAUGUUUGGGGGCAUCGACUGGACAUCUAGAGUGAUCCAACAGGCAAUAACGGCCAGUGCAUUUAAAGCAUAAAUAAAAAAAUAAAAAAAUCCCAUAGCUUUCUGAAUGCAUCCAGUGAGAUCUUUGUUGAUUUUCUUGAACUCAAGAGAGAAUGAAUUAUCUAAGUAGAGAGGAGAAAGAGCUUGUGUUCAUAUAAAGGGAUUAAUGAAUUCAUUUGAUUGAGAAGAACAAGUACUUGUUGUAGAUCUCUUCACAUGGUCCAUUUAUUCAGUUUCAC